AUUGAACGCUGGCGGCAGGCUUAACACAUGCAAGUCGAGCGGGGGAAGGUAGCUUGCUACCGGACCUAGCGGCGGACGGGUGAGUAAUGCUUAGGAAUCUGCCUAUUAGUGGGGGACAACAUCUCGAAAGGGAUGCUAAUACUGCAUACGUCCUACGGGAGAAAGCAGGGGAUCUUCGGACCUUGCGCUAAUAGAUGAGCCUAAGUCGGAUUAGCUAGUUGGUGGGGUAAAGGCCUACCAAGGCGACGAUCUGUAGCGGGUCUGAGAGGAUGAUCCGCCACACUGGGACUGAGACACGGCCCAGACUCCUACGGGAGGCAGCAGUGGGGAAUAUUGGACAAUGGGGGGAACCCUGAUCCAGCCAUGCCGCGUGUGUGAAGAAGGCCUUAUGGUUGUAAAGCACUUUAAGCGAGGAGGAGGCUACUUUAGUUAAUACCUAGAGAUAGUGGACGUUACUCGCAGAAUAAGCACCGGCUAACUCUGUGCCAGCAGCCGCGGUAAUACAGAGGGUGCGAGCGUUAAUCGGAUUUACUGGGCGUAAAGCGUGCGUAGGCGGCUUAUUAAGUCGGAUGUGAAAUCCCCGAGCUUAACUUGGGAAUUGCAUUCGAUACUGGUGAGCUAGAGUAUGGGAGAGGAUGGUAGAAUUCCAGGUGUAGCGGUGAAAUGCGUAGAGAUCUGGA
rnacentral:rRNA from 1 species